CAAAGGGUCAGGUCCACAAUCAAAGUGGGGAGGGUUAAAUCUCCUAAAUUCAGUAAUAUUAUGGGAGAUGGAGCGGUCACUAGGGCGAGAGUCUUAGGCUGGGGGGUGCUGGCAGUGGUUGGCUUGGUUCUGUCAUACGACAGCUGUCAGGCCUUGGAUGGCUCGGAAGAGUUUAGUGAAUUCGGCCCUGGUUGGUGUGUUCUGGGCCUCGGGUCUUUCAGUUCUAUCUACUGAUGGUCUCCCUCGAGUCAUUUAUCCUACAAAAGAAAAGGGAGACAACGAGUUGG
rnacentral:lncRNA from 1 species